ensembl:lncRNA
UUUUUUUGGGCCAAACGUGCGGGAUAUGGAAGUUCCUGGGCCAGGGGUCAAAUCAGAGCUGCAGCAGCCAGCCUAGCUCACAGCCACAGCAACGCCAGAUCCAAGGCACGUCUGCAACCUAUGCCACAGCUUGCAGCUACGCCAGAUCCUUAACCCACUAAGCGAGGCCAGGGAUCGAACCCGAGUCUUUAUGUAUACUAUGUCGGGUUCUUAAUCCACUGAGCCACAACGGGAACUCCCACAAACCAUUUUUAAAAUAAAAUCUAUUUGCAAGACUCAGCUUACAAGGUGGACAGAAGUGCUUUAUCUGUGUGCAAGGUUAUGUAAUAAAUUCGGCUUUUAAAGCCAGGCGACUCAGAUAGGGAGGCCGCUCCCAAGAUCAUGUGUCUCUGCCUGGGUCCCGCCAGUGUUCUGGCUGCUUCCCCAGCCACCUGUUUCAUGGGAGAUUCUGAUUCCGACCGGAAAGGUGUGUCACUGACAGACUCCGCCCCCUGAGACACACUCGGGCCUAAAAUCUAUGCAUGUGUACAGAGUGACCGUCCCCGGGGGCUCAGACACGUGCACAUGCGGACGGCAGGGGAAGCUCUCUUGCAUGGUCCCUACACACGAGGCAGCCCGCAGCCGGGGAGGGUGGCCGGGCCCAGGGGUCAGGGUGUGCACACGGCUUCAUCGGGGCUUACACAACCAAGUGACGUUAAAUCUGGAGUCCAAAUCAAGGGUUUGGGGCAGCCCUGACAUCUGCCUCAAGGAACCCCAAGCUUUGGAAUCCCUGCUUUGUGAAGGCCCAUUUUGUCCAUGAGCAGCUAAGGCCUGGGGUGGCGGGGGUGGGGUGCCUUCCGAUGUCCUGGCGGCAGGAAUGGAAGCUGGUCCUGGAAGGAUGCCCCAGGCCCUUCCUCCUCCCGCACCCACCACCUGCACUGCAGCAAAGGUCACCUCCACACAUAGGGCCAGGCACCCCUGCCUCCCGCCAAGCUGACCACCUGCCUCCUUCAGGCUCUGGAGCCAGGAGGCCAGGGUCAAACCCCAGUCCACCACGUAGUAGCCGUGUGAUCUCAGACAACUGACUUAGCCCCUCUGUGACUCAGUUUCCCUGUCUCUAAAAUGGGCUGACGACUGUACCUACUUCCAUGAGUUGCUGAGAUUAAACGCAAGGCUGCAGGUGCACAGCUUAGCAGAGGCCGGGCUGGGGGUGGGGCCGGACAACCGUCAGCGCUUCAGAGCAAGAUCCCUCUGGCCUCCGGUGUCCUGCCACCAGCCACGCUCUCUCUGCUCGGCCAACGCCUCUCUCCCCGCUCCAAGUUGCCAAACCCACCCAUCCUCAAGCCCCUCUAGGAAGCCUACCCCACUUCCCAGAGUGGAAAACCCACAUGUGAGAACUCCCGUUUCUUUUAUGUAUUUAUUUACUUAUUUAGUCUUUUUAUGGCCGCACCUGAGACAUAUGGAGGUUCCUGGGCUAGGGGUCUAAUCAGAGCUACAGCUGCCCGCCUGCACCACAGUCACAGCAACACCAGAUCCAAGCUGUAUCUGCGACCUACGCUGCAGCUCGAGGCAAUGCCAGAUCACUAACCCACUGAGCAUGGAUACUAGUCAGGUUCUCAACCCGCUGAGCCACAACGGGAACUCCUUCCAUCAUUUCUUGGUCGAUUCGGCCACCUCCUGGAGGCCCCGUUCCCUCGCCUGCACGUCAGGGGGACACCCAGGCUGGCAGAGCUGCUGCAGAGAGGGCACAAGCUGGCCCUUGGAACCGCCUGCCUGGUGCCUCCCAAGCCACCCAUGCCGGCCCUGCUCCCCAGAUGAUCUCUGGGCCGAGUUACCCAGCUCUGUCCCUCUGCCCUUAAUGGAUCUGCACAAGCUGGGGCUGAACCUCUGCCUCUCCUUGGAGCCCAGCCCAGAGCCAAGAGGAGCAAAGAUGCAUUGUAACCAUCAACUGGAUGGAAUUCAAUUCCCACAGCUUUGCGGCUCCAUUUCAGAAGAAUUCAAAAAGAGGAAUAUAUCUCAAAAACGUUUAGCAGCAACCAGAAGCCACGAGCCUGUAGGAAAGGCUUGCUUCACGCUCCCAUUUACAGAUGCUCCAGAAAAGAGCCCCUCCGCCUCUGCUCUCCAGGUGACGAGAUGUCCAAGCUGGCCCCUGACCCCGCCUCAGAGGAGGAAGAGGCCCGACCUUCGGCUGCCAGGAAGAUCGAAGCCCUCGCGUGGUGUUCAGGUGCAUUAAAACUGUUCCGAAUCCCUGAGUCCCCGGUGCAAGGAAACGGACCCAAAAGUCAGAGCCCUCAACUCCAUCACCCAUGUGCCUCCAGGUCGCUGGGUCACCUGGGCGAGUCACUUGGCCUCUCUGGGCUGCUGCACAUUCGCACACAGGAGCUAAAGUACCCACAGUUCGUGGGAGUUCAUGGCCGUGCACGCAGGACCCUGCCAAGCGCCAUCGAGAGCCUCACGGCUGGCAGGGUGCUGGACCCAGACACCCACCACCCAGCGAACAGGGCCGGCCAACAUGGGAAGAAGCCAGCAGAGGGAGGGAGGGCCCCCCAGGGGCUCCAGAAAAGCUCCAUAACAGAGCCCAGCAGGUGAGCCUUGAGAAGGAAGAAGAAACAGGGUCAUGUGAACAGUGACCCUGGACUCAGGAGGAGUCGGGACCAGAAGGCCUUGGUGGAGAAGGCACAGAGCCAUGGGCGUGUGGACAGAGCUGCCCGCACAGGCCAGCCAGGGUCUGCGGUUUCUCCUGGAGAGUCAGGAGGGAGGGCAGAGAGGAGGGAGGGACAGAGCGGAGGGGAGGACGCGGUGCGUGAGGGCCAGACGUGCCAGGGGCAGGGAGGAGCCGGGC